rnacentral:rRNA from 1 species
GAUGAACGCUGGCGGCGUGCCUAAUACAUGCAAGUAGAACGCUGAAGCUUGGUGCUUGCACCGAGCGGAUGAGUUGCGAACGGGUGAGUAACGCGUAGGUAACCUGCCUCUUAGCGGGGGAUAACUAUUGGAAACGAUAGCUAAUACCGCAUAAAAGUCGACAUUGCAUGAUGUUGACUUGAAAGGUGCAAUUGCAUCACUAAGAGAUGGACCUGCGUUGUAUUAGCUAGUUGGUGAGGUAACGGCUCACCAAGGCAACGAUACAUAGCCGACCUGAGAGGGUGAUCGGCCACACUGGGACUGAGACACGGCCCAGACUCCUACGGGAGGCAGCAGUAGGGAAUCUUCGGCAAUGGGGGCAACCCUGACCGAGCAACGCCGCGUGAGUGAAGAAGGUUUUCGGAUCGUAAAGCUCUGUUGUAAGAGAAGAACGAGUGUGAGAGUGGAAAGUUCACACUGUGACGGUAACUUACCAGAAAGGGACGGCUAACUACGUGCCAGCAGCCGCGGUAAUACGUAGGUCCCGAGCGUUGUCCGGAUUUAUUGGGCGUAAAGCGAGCGCAGGCGGUUAGAUAAGUCUGAAGUUAAAGGCUGUGGCUUAACCAUAGUACGCUUUGGAAACUGUUUAACUUGAGUGCAGAAGGGGAGAGUGGAAUUCCAUGUGUAGCGGUGAAAUGCGUAGAUAUAUGGAGGAACACCGGUGGCGAAAGCGGCUCUCUGGUCUGUAACUGACGCUGAGGCUCGAAAGCGUGGGGAGCAAACAGG